UACAUGCACAUAACCAUGUGUAAAAAUAAUUAUUGUUUUGCUUAAUAUUUAGAUGUCACCUCAGAGGAAAGUACUUAUUGCAGUGCAAGUCAUCCAAGCCAUUGCUUUCUGCCACUCAAGGAAUCCACCGCUUGUCCACAGAGACAUAAAACCAGCUAACAUACUUGUGGAGGAAGGAUCAAUGCGAGUAUACUUGGGUGAUUUCGGCUUAACCCGUAUCUGAACGGGUAUGGUUAGUACCAGAACAUCAACAAAUGGUGGUACACCGGGUUUCCAAUCACCCGAAGUCCUCCAGUCAGGUAAAAGCUGCGAUAUAUAUGCUGUUGCCAUGGGUGUGUUUUCAUCGAGCUUUUUGGUGGUACCCCAGUAUGGGGGAAACUCCCACUUUUGACAAUUUUGACAAAUUAAUGUGGCAGUUAAAGGUAAAGCACCUGAAACUAACCAUAUGCAGUUAAAACUAUAUGUGAUGACUGUAUACAAUACAAUCCAGCUCUGAGACCUAAGGCCAGUGCUAUUCUGAGAAGGCUCUUAACUCUUGCGUAAAUAAACUGUUAUACACUGAUCAACUAUAUAUACACAUACAUGUUAUAGUUAAACAAUGGCCUCGAGUGGUAUAUUUGAUUUACACGCGAGAGUAAUCUGAUAAACCACAAGGCGCAGCCGAGUUGGUUCAUCUGAUUACUCGAGCGUGUAAAGCAAAUAUACCAGAGGCCAUAGUUUAACUGGCUUGUACUAUGUUUAGAACUGUACUACUAUGUUUAGCUACUUCCUGUCAUGCUUCUUCAAUGAAUAUGCUUAUAACUACUGUUUGACAUCACUGUUGCUAUAGCUAUGCAAUGAAUUUGCUAUUUUUUUUAAAAGCGAUGGCUGAUUCAAGCAAGCAAUUGUGAAGGCUGUGUUUCUGCAUCUUUAUAGAAGGCACUUCAAGAAAGUACACUGGUGCUACUUGUCUACAAAGAGUGCAAAUGUACCCCAAAAUAUCAUUCCACAAGCCUACUGUACUGGCCCAGUGCAGUGCAGUCUCUUUAGUCUGAGAAACACUUGGCAGUCUGGACCCUUCUUACUGCUCCUGGUCCCAUGCAGCAAUGUAAUAAGCAGGUUGUGACAACCAAUGUUAAAAGUUGAAAAAAAGCAACACAAACAAACCAGUAUCGUUCGAUUCACGAUCACGGAGUUCUUUGAAAUUUGCCUCCUUUUUGGAACUAUUCAUCGCUCGAACUUGGCUCUUUUUAUGUUGACUAAAAUCAUUAGUAGUCUGUUUUGUAUUGAAUUCUCUCUAACUCUAAUAUUGCUAAUAAUUAUUGAUUGAAUUGAGUAGUGUGUCAUUGUUUUAAUUGAAA